rnacentral:piRNA from 1 species
UGGAUCCGCAGUGCCUGGAUGGAACCUGGC